UGAGUACGAGAUGCUACGGCAUCGAAGCAGUCUAUGUCAUACUUCCAAGAAAAGCUUGCACUGUCAUAAACAAAGAAUGCCUGUACCAUAACCGACACAGGUGGGUAGGUAGAGUAUACUAAGGGGCGCGAGAUAACUCUCUCUAAGGAACUCGGCAAAAUGACUCCGUAACUUCGGGAGAAGGAGUGCCUUAUUUCUAAGGUUGCAAUAACAAGAUCCAAGCAACUGUUUACCAAAAACACAGGUCUCCGCUAAGUCGUAAGACGAUGUAUGGGGGCUGACGCCUGCCCAGUGCCAGAAGGUUAAAGAAGUUGGUUAGCAUUAGCGAAGCUGAUAACUGAAGCCCUGGUGAACGGCGGCCGUAACAAUAACGGUCCUAAGGUAGCGAAAUUCCUUGUCGGGUAAGUUCCGACCCGCACGAAAGGCGUAAUGAUUUGGAUACUGUCUCGGAGAGGGGCUCGGUGAAAUAGACUUGUCUGUGAAGAUGCGGACUACCUGCACCUGGACAGAAAGACCCUAUGAAGCUUUACUGUAACUUGAGAUUGAAAUUGGACUUUAUUUGCGCAGUAUAGGUGGGAGGCGUUGAGAAUAAUCUUGCGGGAUUGUUGGAGCCAUCAGUGAGAUACCACUCUUGUAAUGUUAGAUUUCUAACUUUGUAUCAUUAUCUGGUCAAAGAACAGUUUCAGGCGGGCAGUUUGACUGGGGCGGUCGCCUCCCAAAGGGUAACGGAGGCGCACAAAGGUUUCCUCUGAACGGGUAGAAAUCGUAUCUAGAGUGUAAAGGCAUAAGGAAGCUUGACUGUGAGACCUACAAGUCGAGCAGGGACGAAAGUCGGUCUUAGUGAUCUGACGGUGCUGAGUGGAAAGGCCGUCACUCAACGGAUAAAAGUUACUCUAAGGAUAACAGGCUGAUCUCCCCCAAGAGUUCACAUCGACGGGGAGGUUUGGCACCUCGAUGUCGGCUCAUCGCAUCCUGGGGCGGUAGUCCGUCCCAAGGGUUGGGCUGUUCGCCCAUGAAAGCGGUACGCGAGCUGGGUUCAGAACGUCGUGAGACAGUUCGGUCCAUAUCCGGUGUAGGCGUUAGAAUAUUGAGAGGAGCCUUCUCUAGUACGAGAGGACCGAGAAGGACAUACCUCUGGUGUACCAGUUAUCGUGCCAACGGUAAACGCUGGGUAGCUAUGUAUGGAGUGGAUAACCGCUGAAAGCAUCUAAGUGGGAAGCCCACCUCAAGAUAAGUAUUCUCAGC
rnacentral:rRNA from 1 species